rnacentral:rRNA from 1 species
GACGAACGCUGGCGGCGUGCUUAACACAUGCAAGUCGAACGGGAAGGCCCUGCUUUUGUUGGGUGCUCGAUUGGCGAACGGGGGAGUAACACGUGAGUAACCUUCCCUUUACUUUGGGAUAACUUUAGGAAACUGGGGCUAAUACCCGAUAGGAUCUCCUGCUUCAUUGUGGGGGUUGGAAAGUUUCGGCGGUUGGGGAUGGACUCGCGGCUUAUCCGCUUGUUGGUGGGGUAGUGGCUUACCAAGGCUUUGACGGGUAGCCGGCCUGAGAGGGUGACCGGCCACAUUGGGACUGAGAUACGGCCCAGACUCCUACGGGAGGCAGCAGUGGGGAAUAUUGCACAAUGGGCGGAAGCCUGAUGCAGCAACGCCGCGUGCGGGAUGACGGCCUUCGGGUUGUAAACCGCUUUCGCCUGUGACGAAGCGUGAGUGACGGUAAUGGGUAAAGAAGCACCGGCUAACUACGUG